CUAAGGUGAUAGCUACAUGUCCAAGCCUAUUGCGUGGCAUGCAUUUUGCCUUCUGCAGCCCACUAAAGGAGUUUGCAGUUCACCCGCAAACCUCAGCGAUCCAAGCUCCCCUGGAUGACCAUCACUCACCAAGAAAAGAACAAUAACAGGACCUGUUUUGCUAAUCCAGGACUGUUCUCCAGCACUAACUCUAAAUAAUCCCUUCUGCUAGAGUCCACUUUCUGGAACCUGUUGGAGAGGACAUCUUACUCUUAUUGGAUCAUGCACAGUGCCUGAAGCAUUCUGUUGCAUGUAGAAAUCAGUAAAUUGCAGAUGUAAGAUUCAAAACCAGACUUCACAUCUACCGACUUCAGUGACCCUGAAAUUUGUUCACAGAGAGCAUUUAACAUAACUGUCUUCAUCAUCUCCUUCUCUACAUUAAAAAUUAUGGAAAAUACAGGGAGGUGUGAUGUACCCAUUAUCACAAGCAGAUGGAAUGCCUAUAGAGUCGGAUCUCAUCUACAUAUCACCUAUUAUAUGUAGUUAUUGAUGGAUAAAUACUUCAACAGCUAAAGGCAGGAAGAGAGCAGUUCACACAGACGUUAUUGGUGAUUCACUCUUGAGUCAUGAAAAGUCAACCUUGAGCCACAGAAAGUCAACCUUGAGCCAUGCAGAGUGGAGAGUCAUACAUGCCAUUCCUGGGACCAUCAAAAAUGGCAGAGGUCACACAAAAGGCAAAACUUUUAAGAGGUGUUUUAAACGUCGUAUGGGCCAAAGAGAAGCUGGAUUUCCUAUUGGAGUCAGCUGUAACACACGUGUGAUGAAAUUGGCCUGUGAGGACAAGGCAGUGAGCAGAGAGGACAGCAGUCCUUAUGAGAUCAAGCUCUAAGUUUUGAGAAGAAUGCGAAGAAGAAAGGAAGAGUGAGCCUCUCUUUCCC
rnacentral:lncRNA from 1 species